UACGGAGGGUGCGAGCGUUGUCCGGAAUCACUGGGCGUAAAGGGCGCGUAGGCGGCCUGAUAAGUCGGGGGUGAAAUCUUGCGGCUUAACCGCAAGGCUGCCUUCUAAACUGUCGGGCUCGAGCACAGUAGAGGCAGGUGGAAUUCCCGGUGUAGCGGUGGAAUGCGUAGAGAUCGGGAAGAACAUCAGUGGCGAAGGCGGCCUGCUGGGCUGUUGCUGACGCUGAGGCGCGACAGCGUGGGGAGCAAACAGG
rnacentral:rRNA from 1 species